rnacentral:rRNA from 1 species
CGAUUGUAGUCAUAUGCUUGUCUCAAAGAUUAAGCCAUGCAUGUCUAAGUAUAAGCAAUUAUACCGCGAAACUGCGAAUGGCUCAUUAAAUCAGUUAUCGUUUAUUUGAUAGUACCUUACUACAUGGAUAACCGUGGUAAUUCUAGAGCUAAUACAUGCUAAAAAUCCCGACUUCGGAAGGGAUGUAUUUAUUAGAUUAAAAACCAAUGCCCUUCGGGGCUCUCUGGUGAUUCAUAAUAACUUCUCGAAUCGCACGGCCUUGCGCCGGCGAUGGUUCAUUCAAAUUUCUGCCCUAUCAACUUUCGACGGCUGGGUCUUGGCCAGCCGUGGUGACAACGGGUAACGGAGGGUUAGGGCUCGACCCCGGAGAAGGAGCCUGAGAAACGGCUACUACAUCCAAGGAAGGCAGCAGGCGCGCAAAUUACCCAAUCCCGACACGGGGAGGUAGUGACAAUAAAUACUGAUACGGGGCUCUUUCGGGUCUUGUAGUUGGAAUGAGUACAAUUUAAAUCCCUUAACGAGGAACAAUUGGAGGGCAAGUCUGGA